rnacentral:rRNA from 1 species
UACGGGGGGGGUAAGCGUUGUUCGGAAUUACUGGGCGUAAAGGGCGCGUAGGCGGUUCGUACAGUCAGACGUGAAAUUCCCUGGCUCAACCUGGGGACUGCGUUUGAUACGUGCGGGCUUGAGUUCGGAAGAGGGUCGUGGAAUUCCCAGUGUAGAGGUGAAAUUCGUAGAUAUUGGGAAGAACACCGGUGGCGAAGGCGGCGACCUGGUCCGAUACUGACGCUGAGGCGCGAAAGCGUGGGGAGCAAACAGG